CGGGACGUAGCUCAGCCUGGCAGAGCGCCGCCUUUGGGAGGCGGAAGCCGUCGGUUCGAAUCCGACCGUCCCGA
rnacentral:tRNA from 1 species